rnacentral:rRNA from 1 species
CCUGCGGGUGGCAGCAGUGGGGAAUAUUGGACAAUGGGGGCAACCCUGAUCCAGCCAUGCCGCGUGUGUGAAGAAGGCCCUCGGGUUGUAAAGCACUUUCAGUGAGGAAGAACGCCUGGUGGUUAAUACCCAUCAGGAAAGACAUCACUCACAGAAGAAGCACCGGCUAACUCCGUGCCAGCAGCCGCGGUAAUACGGAGGGUGCGAGCGUUAAUCGGAAUUACUGGGCGUAAAGCGCGCGUAGGUGGCUUGAUAAGCCGGUUGUGAAAGCCCCGGGCUCAACCUGGGAACGGCAUCCGGAACUGUCAAGCUAGAGUGAAGGAGAGGAAGGUAGAAUUCCCGGUGUAGCGGUGAAAUGCGUAGAGAUCGGGAGGAAUACCAGUGGCGAAGGCGGCCUUCUGGACUGACACUGACACUGAGGUGCGAAAGCGUGGGUAGCAAACAGGAUUAGAUACCCCAGUAGUC